rnacentral:misc_RNA from 1 species
AACUUUCGGCAACGGAUCACUUGGUUCUGGCAUCGAUGAAGAACGCAGCGAAAUGCGAUAAGUAAUGCGAAUUGCAGAAUUUCCGUGAGUCAUCGAAUCUUUGAACGCACAUUGCGCCCACUGGUAUUCCGGUGGGCAUGCCUGUUCGAGCGUCAUUAUCCUCCCUCAAACCCCGGGUUUGGUGUUGGACCCAAGUUGUGUGAACAACUGGUCUCAAAGACAAUGACGGCGUCCGUGGGACCCUCGGUGCAACGAGCUUUUAAACGAGCACGCGUCGAGUUUCAAGGACCUUCCGGGCCGGUCUCCUUCUUUUAUUUACAAAGGUUGACCUCGGAUCAGGUAGGAAUACCCGCUGAACUUAAGCAUAUCAAUAAGCGGAGGCU